rnacentral:rRNA from 1 species
GACGAACGCUGGCGGCGUGCUUAACACAUGCAAGUCGAACGGAAAGACCCUGCUUUUGUGGGGUGCUCGAGUGGCGAACGGGUGAGUAACACGUGAGUAACCUGCCCUUGACUUUGGGAUAACUUCAGGAAACUGGGGCUAAUACCGGAUAGGAGCUCCUGCUGCAUGGUGGGGGUUGGAAAGUUUCGGCGGUUGGGGAUGGACUCGCGGCUUAUCAGCUUGUUGGUGGGGUAGUGGCUUACCAAGGCUUUGACGGGUAGCCGGCCUGAGAGGGUGACCGGCCACAUUGGGACUGAGAUACGGCCCAGACGCCUACGGGAGGCAGCAGUGGGGAAUAUUGCACAAUGGGCGGAAGCCUGAUGCAGCAACGCCGCGUGCGGGAUGACGGCCUUCGGGUUGUAGACCGCUUUCGCCUGUGACGAAGCGUGAGUGACGGUAAUGGGUAAAGAAGCACCGGCUAACUACGUG